UGUUUUUCAGUUAAAAGCUAAAUGUGUAAUUUUCUCCAAAUGGGAAAAUUUAAAAGAAGGGUCUGAAGCAUAGCAAUUCCAAACGUGAGUCAAAGAAAGUGUUUACCUGAGCAGCCAAGUUCAGACUCUUCACCCUCCUCUCUCCACACACGUUUAGAAUUUGUGAAGAUUCAAACACUAUGUCUAACUGGUAAAUAUACUUGAAAUAAAUCCUUCCCCUCAGCAUAUAAUUGGUCUUAGGUACUAGUGAGAUUCAAUUAUAAAGACUAUUUUAAGUUAAAGAAAUGAAGCAUUCCAGGUACUGUGCAUUCAUACGAGAACAGAACAAUUUUUAUAAUGAUAAAUGUAUUAGAUAAAGUAAACCUGGUAGGCAGUGUUUUUACAUCAUUUAUCCUUAGUUUGUUAUCAUUGCAACAAAAUAUUACAUGCACUGUAUUGCAAAGGAAUAAAAACUGCAUUUUAGUGAAAAUGUUCCAUGAUUCAUUCUGAAUAUUCAUGAUGACGAUUCUACUCCCUAAUUCAUUCUGCUUAAUUCUAACUCUGAAAGGAGGCAUAAGCUAAGAAACAUUAAUGAAAAAGGUAUUUCAAAAGUAUUUUGAACAGUGGAUGAUUUUAAGACAUUUUCAUGUCAGUUGGCUAAGUGAGUUAAUGGACCCUAAUGGCAAUUUAGUAGUGAUUUGUUUGGGGUAUUUUAUAUGUAGGGUCUGGUGAGCAACUAUUUAUUAUUUGUGCAUGUUAAACAGAUGCUGGUAGAAUUUUAUUUUUAAUUAAUUUCAAAGGUUUAUUAUAUAUUGGAAGUGAAAACAUCUGCUAGUAAAUAGAGUUUGGCUUUAUUUUAUGAGUAAAAUAAAUGAUACUGAACAUAGCUUACCAAAUUCUUUUGGGUUUUUUAUGAAGUGAUUCCUGUUGGUUCUACAAUGCAAAAGCAUAAUUUCAUUGACAUUGGGAAUAUUGUUGUAUAAAGUAACUGGCAUUACAUUUCUCCCAUUUUCACUUUUUUGUAGUAAAUUCUGUUGUAGAGAAGAACUAAGACAAUUUGCUUUUAAUCUAGCAUCUUGGGGGGGC
rnacentral:lncRNA from 1 species